rnacentral:misc_RNA from 1 species
AAAAAAAACAUUCAAACCGGCGAAGCUUCGCAUUCACAAGUCUCAGACGCGUUCCUCAAUUUCCUUGUAUUCUUUUCUUCGUCAUUUCAUAUCUUCUGUCCUUUGUAUAUAAAACUAUAACAUCUUUUCUUCAAUGUCAUUCCAGAAAACAGCAUCUUCAUCUCUCUCCUCAAUUCCUAAUGUUUUCUCGCACAAUCUUUUAUGUUUUCUUCUUCUUCUUCUUGAUCUUUCCCAGUGAUGCUAUUCGAUCUUUUCACAGUAAAUCUACCAGUGAUUUCAAUGAGAGAAAGAUUGAUCAGUUUGAUUUUUCUCUGCAAUUCUUGGAGGCCCCAGAGUAUCAAAAUGGAAUGGCAUGUGCUACUGUACCUAGUUUGAUAGAUGAUCCUUCGCUUGUUCAUGUAGCUAUGACACUCGAUCCACAUUACUUGAGAGGCACCAUGGCUGCAAUCCAUUCAGUUCUCAAGCAUGCUUCUUGCCCAGAAAACAUUUUCUUUCAUUUUAUUGCCUCAGAUUCAGGGCUGAUUAGUCCAAGCAAACUCACCAAGAUUGUAGAGUCUGCAUUCCCAUCUUUGAAGUUUAAGGUCUACCUCUUCAAGAAGAAUCUGGUCGAUAAUUUAAUCUCAACCUCCAUUCGUCAAGCUCUCGACAACCCAUUGAACUAUGCAAGAAGUUACUUGGCUGAUAUGCUAGAGCCUGGUUCAAGAACUAUUGGAGCACCAGAGUACUGUCACGCAAAAUUCACCAACUACUUCAACAGCGAGUUUUGGUCAGAUCCUGAGCUUUCCAGGGUUUUUGAAGGGAAGAUGGCUUGCUAUUUUAAUACUGGUGUGAUGGUGAUAGACUUGGAGAGGUGGAGGGAAGGUGGUUAUACUAGGGAAAUUGAGAAAUGGAUGAGAAUCCAGAAAGAGAGAAGGAUUUAUGAGUUGGGUUCUCUUCCACCGUUUUUAUUAGUGUUUGCUGGGGAUGUUGAAGCAAUUGAUCAUAGAUGGAAUCAGCAUGGGCUUGGUGGGGAUAAUGUGGUUAGAAGUUGCAGGCCUUUGCAUCCAGGACCUGUGAGUUUGUUGCAUUGGAGUGGUAAAGGAAAGCCAUGGAGGAGGCUCGAUGAAAUGAAGCCUUGCCCAAUUGAUUCUUUAUGGGCACCUUAUGACCUCCAUAAAAACAAGAACCAUCAACAUACCCACCAUAUGAAGAGAAGGCAAAGAUGAUCAAGUUUUGUUUAGUAUAAGAAGAUGAUUCUUUUAUUUAUUUAAACUUGUUCUCAGUUAAUAUUUUAAGACGAGAGGACAACUUUUGUAAAGAGAAGGAGAAAUUCCAGAUACAGAAAUCAAUUGAAUCAAAAUUCUUUGCAGUUUUGAGGUUGUUAUUCACAAAGAUUUUUGUCAUAUGGAAAGGAAUACAUUUCUUUAAUACUUUUAGAGUUGGGAAGUAACCUCAAAUUCAUUCAUGUGUUUUACUUGUCCUAUCAAUUGAGAUUGCCAAUUUGUUUGCUCUCUCGUGUAAUUUAAACGACGAUAGUUUCUUUCAGAGUUUCAAUGUUGUGCCUGGCUCCUGA